rnacentral:rRNA from 1 species
CCUACGGGAGGCAGCAGUGAGGAAUAUUGGUCAAUGGACGAAAGUCUGAACCAGCCAAGUAGCGUGAAGGAUGACUGCCCUAUGGGUUGUAAACUUCUUUUAUAAAGGAAUAAAACGAGGCACGUGUGCCUUUGUGCAUGUACUUUAUGAAUAAGGAUCGGCUAACUCCGUGCCAGCAGCCGCGGUAAUACGGAGGAUCCGAGCGUUAUCCGGAUUUCUUGGGUUUAAAGGGAGCGUAGAUGGGUUGUUAAGUCAGUGGUGAAAGUUUGCGGCUCAACCGUAAAAUUGCAAUUGAUACUGGCAGUCUUGAGUACAGUUGAGGUAGGCGGAAUUCGUGGUGUAGCGGUGAAAUGCUUAGAUAUCACGAAGAACCCCGAUUGCGAAGGCAGCUUACUAAACUGUGACUGACAUUGAUGCUCGAAAGUGUGGGUAUCAAACAGGAUUAGAUACCCUUGUAGUC